AGAGUUUGAUCAUGGCUCAGAACGAACGCUGGCGGCGUGCCUAACACAUGCAAGUCGAGCGGGAAAAUGGGGGCAACCCCAUGAGUACAGCGGCGCACGGGUGAGUAACACGUAGGUAACCUACCUAUGAGCCUGGGAUAACCUGCCGAAAGGCGGGCUAAUACCGGAUAAGACCACGGGGCCUGCGGUCCCUGGGGCAAAAGGUGGCCUCUCCAUGGAAGCUACUACUCGUAGAUGGGCCUGCGCGCCAUUAGCUAGUUGGCGGGGUAAUGGCCCACCAAGGCUUAGAUGGCUAGCUGGUCUGAGAGGAUGGCCAGCCACACUGGGACUGAGACACGGCCCAGACUCCUACGGGAGGCAGCAGUGGGGAAUAUUGCGCAAUGGGCGAAAGCCUGACGCAGCGACGCCGCGUGGGUGAUGAAGGCCUUCGGGUCGUAAAGCCCUGUCGGGAGGGACGAAACCUCGGUGACCCAAUACGUCAUCGACCUGACGGUACCUCCUAAGAAGACCUGAUUCGCCG
rnacentral:rRNA from 1 species